UGGGGAAUAUUGGACAAUGGGCGCAAGCCUGAUCCAGCAAUGCCGCGUGUGUGAAGAAGGCCUUCGGGUUGUAAAGCACUUUUAUCUGGAGCGAAAUCUGCAGGGCUAAUACCCAUGCAGCCUGACGGUACCAGAGGAAUAAGCACCGGCUAACUUCGUGCCAGCAGCCGCGGUAAUACGAAGGGUGCAAGCGUUACUCGGAAUUACUGGGCGUAAAGCGUGAGUAGGUGGUUUCUUAAGUCUGCUGUGAAAGCCCUGGGCUCAACCUGGGAACUGCAUUUGAUACUGGAUCACUAGAGUGCGGUAGAGGAUAGUGGGAUUCCCGGUGUAGCGGUGAAAUGCGGAGAGAUCGGGAGGAACACCGAUGGCGAAGGCAAUCCCCUGGGCCUGCACUGACGCGCAUGCACGAAAGCGUGGGGAUCAAACA
rnacentral:rRNA from 1 species